UCCAGUAAAUUUUACAGUAUGGUACUAAUUUGACUAGCGUAGUCGCGGCAGCCAUCAUUAUUUCUCGUGUUUUCUUUUUUCCUACGCAAAUUUUUAUAACCACACUUUUUACGUUAUGUUUACAAUAUUAUUGUUCUUGAGGUGAUUUGCGAUGAGCGGGCUAACGUUGUUUAAGUUUUCCAAAUGGAGAAAAAAUAAUGACGACCCGGAUGACCCAGAACCACCCCAAAAAAAACGUCUAAAGUUUCUUCUAACAAGCAGCAUUCUUCCAAGAAAACAGCAACUGCAGUCAGCGGGUCUUGUAAUGUAGAUAGCGAUGACUGUGCCCAAGCCGAAACGGACCCACUCACUUGCCGAGGGCGAUGAACGGGAAGAUGGCCAUGUAGUAGGUGACGCACAGGGCGCAGAUCAUCCAGAAGAGGGCAGGGAAGUCCUUGACGUCAGUGAUGCGCACCACCUCCCCCUCGUGGGACGGCUUCCGCCUGAGGAUGCGCUCCGCCCGGCGGUCCAUCCAGGCCAGGACGAUCCCGCACACCAGGGACAUGGUGCAGGUCGCCGACGCUGCCGACAGCACGCCACUGCCCCGGCUCGCCCCCAAACUCUCACCAUCGGAGAGGAACUACCGCACAUGCUCCACACACAUUUAAGAAUCUGUUAGGUACACAUGUAUUAAAGUAUAUUAAUUACAAACAGGAGGGGGCCCCGGGGCAACAAAAUACAUUUAAAAGUAAAACAACCAUAUCUCUUAAACUUGACCCUGGUUUUAAGUGAGCUCGCAGGCUCAAAAGAAAGACAAUUACAUUUUGUUUUUAAUUUUC